GGAGGGUGCAAGCGUUAAUCGGAAUUACUGGGCGUAAAGCGCGCGUAGGUGGCUUGAUAAGCCGGUUGUGAAAGCCCCGGGCUCAACCUGGGAACGGCAUCCGGAACUGUCAGGCUAGAGUGUAGGAGAGGAAGGUAGAAUUCCCGGUGUAGCGGUGAAAUGCGUAGAGAUCGGGAGGAAUACCAGUGGCGAAGGCGGCCUUCUGGACUGACACUGACACUGAGGUGCGAAAGCGUGGGUAGCAAACAGGAUUAGAUACCCUGGUAGUCCACGCCGUAAACGAUGUCGACCAGCCGUUGGGUGCCUAGAGCACUUUGUGGCGAAGUUAACGCGAUAAGUCGACCGCCUGGGGAGUACGGCCGCAAGGUUA
rnacentral:rRNA from 1 species